AUGAAUCUGCUCCGACUGGAAUCCCGAAUCGACGGUGUCGUGGACUACUUGGCUCGACUGAAGGUCGCCAUGUCACGGAUCGACUCGGCACUUUGGCCAGAGGCCACGCUUCAAAAUGAUCUUGAGUCCCUGAUGACUCGACUUAAAGAAAUCCCUGAUCGAGUGCAGGAGUGGAAGAAGUCUUCUGCCCGGUGUGGCGCUGAUGUGGCUCUGUCUUUGGUUCGCGUCCAUUGCAAGGAAGUGCGACAAGAUAAGCUGGCAGCAAUCAAGGUCGCCAACACCCAGAAGCAUGACUUCCGAUCUUUUAUGGAGACUUUCAUCGCUGCAGCCAGUCGGAUCACCGACGGUGUCGACUUAGACGAGUUCGUCGAGCCUGCUAGUCCUCCUCCCGCGGAGUGA
rnacentral:rRNA from 1 species